rnacentral:rRNA from 1 species
AGUGGACGCUGGCGGCGUGCCUAAUACAUGCAAGUCGAACGGAAUUUAAGAGGGCUUGCUCUUUUAAAUUUAGUGGCGCACGGGUGAGUAAUAUAUAGCUAAUCUGCCCCUUGCUGGAGGACAACAGUUAGAAAUGACUGCUAAUACUCCAUACUCCUUUUUACCAUAAGAUAAAUCGGGAAAGAAUUUCGGCAAGGGAUGAGACUAUAUCGUAUCAGCUAGUCGGUGGGGUAACGGCCUACCGAGGCUAUGACGCGUAACUGGUCUGAGAGGAUGAUCAGUCACAUUGGAACUGAGACACGGUCCAAACUCCUACGGGAGGCAGCAGUAGGGAAUAUUGCGCAAUGGGGGAAACCCUGACGCAGCAACGCCGCGUGGAGGAUGACACUUUUCGGAGCGUAAACUCCUUUUGUUAGGGAAGAAUAAUGACGGUACCUAACGAAUAAGCACCGGCUAACUCCGUGCCAGCAGCCGCGGUAAUACGGAGGGUGCAAGCGUUACUCGGAAUCACUGGGCGUAAAGGACGCGUAGGCGGAUUAUCAAGUCUCUUGUGAAAUCUAACGGCUUAACCGUUAAACUGCUUGGGAAACUGAUAAUCUAGAGUAAGGGAGAGGCAGAUGGAAUUCUUGGUGUAGGGGUAAAAUCCGUAGAUAUCAAGAAGAAUACCUAUUGCGAAGGCGAUCUGCUGGAACUUAACUGACGCUCAUGCGUGAAAGCGUGGGGAGCAAACAGG